GAGGAGCAACCAAUCUAGAAGGUUUUCCACUUAAUCACCCAAAAAUUUAUUAAACAAACAAAAUUAAAAACAGAAAUAAAUAACAUUACUGAAAAUAUAAAUUUGUUCAUUGGGGACAAAACACCCCAAUAGUACAACACCAAAGUCAAAAUACAUAAUCCGAAAAUACAAAUAAAAAUAAACAUAAAAACUGAAAAAUAU
rnacentral:lncRNA from 1 species